rnacentral:tRNA from 1 species
GCCUGAGUGGCUGAGUUGGCUAAGUGUCUGACUUUGGCUUAGGUCGUGAUCUUGCAGUUCAUGGGUUCGAGUCCUGCAUCAGGCU